rnacentral:rRNA from 1 species
AACGCGAAGAACCUUACCAGCCCUUGACAUGUCCAGGACCGGUCGCAGAGAUGUGACUUCUCUUCGGAGCCUGGAACACAGGUGCUGCAUGGCUGUCGUCAGCUCGUGUCGUGAGAUGUUGGGUUAAGUCCCGCAACGAGCGCAACCCCCGUCCUUAGUUGCUACCAUUUAGUUGAGCACUCUAAGGAGACUGCCGGUGAUAAGCCGCGAGGAAGGUGGGGAUGACGUCAAGUCCUCAUGGCCCUUACGGGCUGGGCUACACACGUGCUACAAUGGCGGUGACAAUGGGACGCUAAGGGGCAACCCUUCGCAAAUCUCAAAAAGCCGUCUCAGUUCGGAUUGGGCUCUGCAACUCGAGCCCAUGAAGUUGGAAUCGCUAGUAAUCGUGGAUCAGCACGCCACGGUGAAUACGUUCCCGGGCCUUGUACACACCG